rnacentral:pre_miRNA from 1 species
AGUUGGAAGAUUAGGGCUGACAGUUAUAUGUAAGCUUGGUGCCAGAUCUAACUCUUCCAGCUCA